CAACUUUGGCAUUGUGGAAGGAC
rnacentral:piRNA from 1 species